UUUUUGUUUUUUUUUUUUUUUUCCUUAAACUAGGUUUGCCUGCUUGAUAAUAAUACCCAAUGUAAACAUUUCCUCAUUGUCACAAAUGAAGCUGUCCCUAAGUGACUAAACCAAAAUAAGCCUGGCUGAAAACAAACAGUAAGGUCAACAGGGAUGUUGCGCUGGAGGUUGGUCUAACAUAAUUCACAUCUUAGGUUAAACCCUUCUGUUUCUUGUUCCUUCAUUUGGAGAACCAUUUGUAGAGCCCUGCUGAUUCAAAUGAGAAACCAGGGUGAAGUAUUGCUGCAGCUUGUAGGAAAUCCUUCAGAAACCAUGCUGGGUGCAGGGGAGCAGCAGUGGGGUGAAGGAUGAAUUUGCUCUGCACGCCACGACUACAACAUUUGCACAGAGGGUGCCAUCUCAGGAGCUGUUUUGUGCUACUUUCUCCUUUCUCCUGUUGCUGGUUUUCAGCAACAAAAGGUGCGCAAGAUCUUGACCUGUUGUAACAAAAUUACUCCUGAGACUUCACAUGCCCUUGUUAUUUUGGGAGGAAGGGAGGGAGUGCGGGCUCCUGCCUAAGGUCACAGCUGCCAAAGGGUUGCCUCCCUUUCAUCUGUUUGACCAACAACUCUUCAAUCCCAGGGCUGAGUCCAGCCAAUGUCCUCAGGCCAGGCAGAAUGGGGGUCUCGCCUCCUCAGUGAAAGCAGAGAGGGACAGCACAGUUCCCACAAACCCUGUCAGCUUUCAGAGCAAAGGCAGGUCCAGGUGAGCUUUUUGGAGAGCCAGCAUCCUCUGGGCCUCCCUUGUGCAGAUGCUGCUCCUCGGUACUACCACAGCAGCUCAGAUCUGUGUAGAUAAACUCUCCAGACUGAAGGCAGAGCUGAAUUCCCAGUCCACAGCAUUAACCUACUAGCUAAGCACUGCAGUGCCGUUUGCGGGAUUCCCAGCAUAAACAUAUGCUUUCAAACACAAAUUGGGAUUCUUCUAACAGAUUAAAGCUGUUUUCCUUCCCUGCAUGAGGAAGGGAGCUAAAGGCUCGGCUGCCUCACCAUGUUCCCCGGCUCAAGAGGAUUUAAUAUUCAAGUCGCCAGCUUUCCAUUCCCCUUUCCCCUCCUCACCCCCUCCUGCAGACCAACUCCACGUCUGUGCCUUCCUCCUACCGAUUUCCCUCAGGUCAGAAGAACUCUGUCAUCAAUCCCCCACUGUGACUUAUUUCCAAAGAUCAGCACUGACCCAGAAGUCACUUGGCACCGCACCAUCAGAACAGCAUGUGCCGGCGCUGCUGAGAGGAGAAUCUCACCGAGACCGGAUUCAGGAUGUUGGACCGUCUGCUAAGCACUUGUCAGGUUCCCAUAUUUCAGAAAGAAGUCUUUAUGCAGCUGACCUGGUGACUGGAGGAUGUAUUUAUAAAAAACACGCAAGGGUCAGGCUGGUUGACCUUGACGUAACACUGCACUGCUGAGCAGGAGGGAUGGGGCUGAUUCCCACUGCUCGCUGCUCGCUCCCAGGGGCAGGAGCAGGGCAGGAGAUGGCUGCUUAGAGCUUGGAGAUGGGGAUGGGAAGGUAAAUACAGUCAGUGUUGGGGGUGUCCUGUGGGAUGAAGGACUGUUAGGACACUGGAGAGAGAUGCAUGUGAAGUAUCAGAUGAAUUCUACACCUGCUUGUGUACAGAGGUCUCAGGGCCACGGGGAGAGGAAGGACCUAUGUGUCAGGGUUGAUGUGAGGUAGGGGCCAGGUAAAAAGGAAUAUUCAGCUCAAGAGCUGUCACUAGAAGCCCUACAUGACACAGUGCUAUCUUUUCUACUCUGGGACUUCCAUUGCUGCUCAGUGGACUACAUUUUGAUCAGACACCUCCAUCUGAUAGAAGAAAGCCCAAGGAAAAGGGAGAAGCAACAGCACUGUGCUGUAAAUUUACUUGGUCCAGGAAGCAGCAGGCCAGUACCUACAUGAAAGAUAAUUUGUAAGCAUAAGCCAAAAAGUAGCUUAGAUUUUGUGAAAAGAAGAAUAGAGCUCUGUACUACAGCUUAAAGAUGACCUUCCUAGAAAAACAGACAAUGCACAGGGAUACCUUGGUGUGGAGAAACCAGUCCUUCCAUCUCUCACUUAGUAAGUGGUGGCUGCACCCAGCUCAUAAUCUCUCAAGGCAAUCCUUGCAAAGGAGGGAGCCUUCUCCACAUAAGAAUCAAGUACGAUCAGCAAACAUCACUCACACAAUCGCUGAGACCAGAGCCCGAACAAAUUGAAAUAUUUUUUCAUCAGCCUAAAUACAUCCUUUGGUGCCUGCCAGCUUAGAAAACACAGAGCUCUUCCAAAUCUGGGGCCACUGCAUUGCAUGCUUCAUUCAGGUGUGGGACAGCUAAUCCCACAAUCAGAGCAGGACAGAUAGAGAAAAGUGCUCUGCUUUGGAAACACAGAUGCCAGCCAUAAAAGAAACUUGUGACAAGAUGUGACUGCUCUGACUGUGCUAUCUGAGACUGUCCCUUUUCACUUUAUACAGGGAAUUUGUGACACAGAGCAUCAGUGCUGACUUAAUCAGUGUUUGCUGGUGUCCCUAAGCAGUCAAGCACCAAACAAAAGUGAUGUUUAUUCAGCCAUUAUCGUGGGUGCAGAUGUGAAAUUUGAAUCCUGGGUUUUCACUGUGGUUGGUCAGAGAAUGUUGUUAUGGCCCUAUCUUCCAGGGUGAACUAAACACAUUUUUUGUGGUGAAAUUUCUAGUUGUCAUGCUCACAACUCUGAAUUUUGAAUCCUCUGAAUACUGUUAAAUCCUCAAGGGCUUAAGCGUUCAGAAGAAGGAAAAAGGCCACUAAUGGGAGAUGAAGAAGACUUAAAAGGAAACACAACAUAAUGCAUAGCUAAACACAAGCACACACAAACACACAGACAAUAAACUCAGUCCUACUUUGAAUGAAAUCUCUCUGGGAAGAACAAUUCCUUUCACUCCAGGAAAUACUGGGUGAAUUUCUCCAGCCCAUGUUAUGUAGGUCAAAGCAGAUUAUCGCAGUAGUCCUCGGGGCUUUAACAUCUAUGAAUAUACCCAGCUGAUUGUUGAGCAGGUCUGUGGAGUGACUUGGUGUAAUGUGUGCUGAUACUGCUCAGUCAAAGAGGAUGGGUACAUGCCUGAGCUAAGAAACUGCAUUUUUUUGGGGUAUAACUCACAAUUUUCAGUGCUGAGAUGCUGUAUUCUCGUGGCAGCAUUUACUUACUUUCCCAGCCUUCACUUUGGUUUCUGUGCAGUCUGGGAAAGGGAUCCAAGACUUCAGUGUCACUGCAGAUCCAUGGGACAGCACUUCUUGGCAGCAGCAUACAAAUAUAUUUUCCUACCCUAUUCUCAGUGUAGCACAGGUGCUUGUCUGACACUACGUUGGUCCCACCCCAGGUCUGGUCAGCUGCAUGAGCUGGCUCACCUAAGGAGCUCUUCAGGAGCUGGACUCAAUGGUCCUUGUAGGUGCCUUGAAACUCUGCAUAUUCUCUGAUUCUAUGAUUGUGAUAAAAUCCUCAAACCUGAUGAGUGCUAUGCUGGUACAGCAGACAAAGCACAAACAUGCAGAUAAGGGCAGGGGAUGACAUUGCCCCUGCUCAUGGCAGCUGGCCAUUGGAGCUAUUUACUUACAUUAUCCAAACAUGUCCUUCUCUGUCCUGUCUUAGGAGCUGUGGUGAUUGAUACAGGGGCUGACUUCAGAUGCUGCUCCCCUCUAACCCAGCUGAGUGCCUCAACAGGGCUGGCAGAAGGGCUGACCAUGCUUCCUUUCCCAAUGUCUUGACAGAGAAUGGCUCCAGCAGGAACCAGACCUGGCAUCUGUUGCAUGUUGUGUUAGGACCCCAGGCUGUGAGCUGUAGCAGCAUGGAACAGACAUGCCUUCUGCUCCCCUGCCUUGUCUGUGGGGAGCAGCAGACGCUGGGGAGAGGGGGAGACAGGCAUCGCUACAGAUUUGUUAUCAUAAAACUCCAGGAGCUUGGAGUCAGGGCACCAGCCAGGUCUUGAGGCAUUUUAGUCUGCCCUAUCCCAAGAAUGUUUCCAGCUAAUUUUCACUGUCCUUUCCUCCCUCUUCCCCC
ensembl:lncRNA